rnacentral:rRNA from 1 species
UUCUUCGGGACAGAGAGAGCGGCGUACGGGUGCGGAACACGUGUGCAACCUGCCUUUAUCAGGGGGAUAGCCUUUCGAAAGGAAGAUUAAUACCCCAUAAUAUAUUGAAUGGCAUCAUUUGAUAUUGAAAACUCCGGUGGAUAGAGAUGGGCACGCGCAAGAUUAGAUAGUUGGUGAGGUAACGGCUCACCAAGUCAGUGAUCUUUAGGGGGCCUGAGAGGGUGAUCCCCCACACUGGUACUGAGACACGGACCAGACUCCUACGGGAGGCAGCAGUGAGGAAUAUUGGACAAUGGGUGAGAGCCUGAUCCAGCCAUCCCGCGUGAAGGACGACGGUUCUAUGGAUUGUAAACUUCUUUUAUACUGGGAUAAACCUACCCUCGUGAGGGUAGCUGAAGGUACAGUAUGAAUAAGCACCGGCUAACUCCGUGCCAGCAGCCGCGGUAAUACGGAGGGUGCAAGCGUUAUCCGGAUUUAUUGGGUUUAAAGGGUCCGUAGGCGGAUCUGUAAGUCAGUGGUGAAAUCUCAUAGCUUAACUAUGAAACUGCCAUUGAUACUGCAGGUCUUGAGUAAAGUAGAAGUGGCUGGAAUAAGUAGUGUAGCGGUGAAAUGCAUAGAUAUUACUUAGAACACCAAUUGCGAAGGCAGGUCACUAUGUUUUAACUGACGCUGAUGGACGAAAGCGUGGGGAGCGAACAGGAUUAGAUACCCUGGUAGUCCACGCCGUAAACGAUGCUAACUCGUUUUUGGGUUUUCGGAUUCAGAGACUAAGCGAAAGUGAUAAGUUAGCCACCUGGGGAGUACGUUCGCAAGAAUGAAACUCAAAGGAAUUGACGGGGGCCCGCACAAGCGGUGGAUUAUGUGGUUUAAUUCGAUGAUACGCGAGGAACCUUACCAAGGCUUAAAUGGGAAUUGACAGGUUUAGAAAUAGACUUUUCUUCGGACAAUUUUCAAGGUGCUGCAUGGUUGUCGUCAGCUCGUGCCGUGAGGUGUUAGGUUAAGUCCUGCAACGAGCGCAACCCCUGUCACUAGUUGCCAUCAUUCAGUUGGGGACUCUAGUGAGACUGCCUACGCAAGUAGAGAGGAAGGUGGGGAUGACGUCAAAUCAUCACGGCCCUUACGCCUUGGGCCACACACGUAAUACAAUGGCCAGUACAGAGGGCAGCUACCAGGCGACUGGAUGCGAAUCUCGAAAGCUGGUCUCAGUUCGGAUUGGAGUCUGCAACUCGACU